rnacentral:rRNA from 1 species
UACGAAGGGGGCUAGCGUUGUUCGGAAUUACUGGGCGUAAAGCGCGCGCAGGCGGUUUCUCAAGUCAGUGGUGAAAGCCCGGAGCUCAACUCCGGAACUGCCAUUGAAACUGUGAAACUUGAGGACGAGAGAGGUGAGUGGAAUUCCCAGUGUAGAGGUGAAAUCCGUAGAUAUUGAGAAGAACACCGGUGGCGAAGGCGGCUCACUGGCUCGUUUCUGACGCUCAGGCGCGACAGCGUGGGGAUCAAACAGG